rnacentral:rRNA from 1 species
GACGAACGCUGGCGGCGUGCUUAACACAUGCAAGUCGAACGAUGUGGCGAACGGGUGAGUAACGCGUAAUCAACAUGCCCUUCAGAGGGGGACAACAGUUGGAAACGACCGCUAAUACCGCAUACUGAAGGAGGGGCUUGCGUCUGAUUAGCUAGUUGGAGGGGUAACGGCCCACCAAGGCGAUGAUCAGUAGCCGGUCUGGGAGGAUGAACGGCUACAUUGGGACGGGGACAUGGCCCAGACGCCUACGGGAGGAAGCAGUGGGGAAUCUGCCGAAAUGGACGAAAGUAUGACGGAGCAACGCCGCGUGAGUGAGGACGGCCUUCGGGUUGUAAAGCUCUGUUAAUCGGGACGCGGUACCGGAAUAGAAAGCCACGGCUAACUACGUGCCAGCAGCCGCGGUAAUAC